GACGAACGCUGGCGGCGUGCUUAACACAUGCAAGUCGAACGCUGAAGCCUAGCUUUUGUUGGGUGGAUGAGUGGCGAACGGGUGAGUAACACGUGAGUAACCUGCCCCCUUCUUUGGGAUAACGCCCGGAAACGGGUGCUAAUACUGGAUAUUCACUGAUCUUCGCAUGGGGGUUGGUGGAAAGGUUUUUUCUGGUGGGGGAUGGGCUCGCGGCCUAUCAGCUUGUUGGUGGGGUGAUGGCCUACCAAGGCUUUGACGGGUAGCCGGCCUGAGAGGGUGACCGGUCACAUUGGGACUGAGAUACGGCCCAGACUCCUACGGGAGGCAGCAGUGGGGAAUAUUGCACAAUGGGCGAAAGCCUGAUGCAGCGACGCCGCGAGGGGUGGAGGCCUUCGGGUUGUAAACCUCUUUCGCUCAUGGUCAAGCCGCAACAUUGGUUGUGGUGAGGGUAGUGGGUAAAGAAGCGCCGGCUAACUACGUGCCAGCAGCCGCGGUAAUACGUAGGGCGCGAGCGUUGUCCGGAAUUAUUGGGCGUAAAGGGCUUGUAGGCGGUUGGUCGCGUCUGCCGUGAAAUCCUCUGGCUUAACUGGGGGCGUGCGGUGGGUACGGGCUGACUUGAGUGCGGUAGGGGAGACUGGAACUCCUGGUGUAGCGGUGGAAUGCGCAGAUAUCAGGAAGAACACCGGUGGCGAAGGCGGGUCUCUGGGCCGUUACUGACGCUGAGGAGCGAAAGCGUGGGGAGCGAACAGG
rnacentral:rRNA from 1 species